GGGGGGGCGGCCUAUACAUGCAAGUCGAGCGGACAGAUGGUGCAGCUUGCGUCCCUGAUGUUAGCGGCGGACGGGUGAGUAACACGUGGGUAACCUGCCUGUAAGACUGGGAUAACUCCGGGAAACCGGGGCUAAUACCGGAUGCUUGAUUGAACCGCAUGGUUCAAUUAUAAAAGGUGGCUUUUACCUACCACUUACAGAUGGACCGACGGCGCAUUAGCUAGUUGGUGAGGUAACGGCUCACCAAGGCAACGAUGCGUAUCCGACCUGAGAGGGUGAUCGGCCACACUGGGACUGAGACACGGCCCAAACUCCUACGGAAGGCAGCAGUAGGGAAUCUUCCGCAAUGGACGAAAGUCUGACGGAGCAACGCCGCGUGAGUGAUGAAGGUUUUCGGAUCGUAAAACUCUGUUGUUAGGGAAAAACAAGUACCGUUCGAAUAGGGCGGUACCUUGACGGUACCUAACCAGAAAGCCACGGCUAACUACGUGCCAGCAGCCGCGGAAAUACGUAGGUGGCAAGCGUUGUCCGGAAUUAUUGGGCGUAAAGCGCGCGCAGGCGGUUUCUUAAUUCUGAUGUGAAAGCCCCCGGCUCAACCGGGGAGGGUCAUUGAAAACUGGGGAACUUGAGAGCAAAAAAGAAAAGUGGAAUUCCACGUGUAGCGGUGAAAUGCGUAGAGAUGUGGAGGAACACCAGUGGCGAAGGCGACUCUCUGGUCUGUAACUGACGCUAAGGCGCGAAAGCGUGGGGAGCGAACAGGAUUAGAUACCCUGGUAGUCCACGCCGUAAACGAUGAGUGCUAAGUGUUAAGAGGGUUUCCGCCCUUUAGUGCUGCAGCAAACGCAUUAAGCACUCCGCCCUGGGGGAGUACGGUCCGCAAGACUGGAAACUCAAAGGGAAUUGACGGGGGGCCCCGCACAAGCCGGUGGAAGCAUGUGGUUUUAAUUUCGAAAGCAACCGCGAAAAAACCUUUACCAGGGUCUUUGAACAUCCUUCUGAACAACCCCUAAAGAAUAAGGGCUUUCCCCCUUUCGGGGGGCCAGAAAUUGAACCGGGUGGUUGCCUGGUUUGUUCGUCCACCCUCCGGGUC
rnacentral:rRNA from 1 species